CCUACGGGUGGCAGCAGUCGAGAAUCAUUCACAAUGGGGGAAACCCUGAUGGUGCGACGCCGCGUGGGGGAAUGAAGGUCUUCGGAUUGUAAACCCCUGUCAUGUGGGAGCAAAUUAAAAAGAUAGUACCACAAGAGGAAGAGACGGCUAACUCUGUGCCAGCAGCCGCGGUAAUACAGAGGUCUCAAGCGUUGUUCGGAAUCACUGGGCGUAAAGCGUGCGUAGGCUGUGUCGUAAGUCGUGUGUGAAAGGCGCGGGCUCAACCCGCGGACGGCCCAUGAUACUGCGAGACUAGAGUAAGGGGAGGGGAACCGGAAUUCUCGGUGUAGCAGUGAAAUGCGUAGAUAUGGAGAGGAACACUCGUGGCGAAGGCGGGUUCCUGGACAUUAACUGACGCUGAGGCACGAAGGCCAGGGGAGCGAAAGGGAUUAGAUACCCCUGUAGUC
rnacentral:rRNA from 1 species